UACGUAGGGUGCAAGCGUUUAAUCGGAAUUACUGGGCGUAAAGCGUGCGCAGGCGGUUUUGUAAGUCUGUCGUGAAAUCCCCGGGCUCAACCUGGGAAUUGCGAUGGAGACUGCAAGGCUAGAAUCUGGCAGAGGGGGGGUAGAAUUCCACGUGUAGCAGUGAAAUGCGUAGAGAUGUGGAGGAACACCGAUGGCGAAGGCAGCCCCCCUGGGUCAAGAUUGACGCUCAUGCACGAAAGGCGU
rnacentral:rRNA from 1 species